CUAUUUUUCUUAUCUCGAGACUGGGUUUUUUAAUUGUCUCCUUCCUUUUUUCAAGAUUUUCACCAUUUUUUUUCUUUUUUCUCAUUUUUCGAGAUUCUUCAUAAACAUCAACCACGAACAAGGGAGACUAAAUAAUCCUGCAUUUUUAAAACUUAGUAACUUUUACUCCUAGACUCGUCCGAGUUACAUGACACUAAUAUAUGCAUUAUCA
rnacentral:lncRNA from 1 species